GCUUGACCUCAAAUCAGGUAGGAUUA
rnacentral:rRNA from 1 species